GGGUCAAGCUGUCAUUUGGCCAUUUAAAAAUGAAGAAAAACCACUCACUCCACCUCAAAAAACAUAGAGCGUAACUGGCUUUAUGUCUUCAUCAGUCAAUCCAAACAAGUUAGAGGAUCUCGGUGUUUAAUUUUGGGCCGCCGCGGCCGCCUUCUCCUCAGCCGCCGCCUCCUCAGCCGCCGGUGCCGCCGCGGCCGGACUCACCUCCCCUAGCAAAGCCGGAUAGAGCGGAGCCAGCGUCGGACACGCGCAACCAGCCGCCGAGGCCCCGCCCCCGCCUUGCACGGACCGGCUGCCCUAGCCAAUCCACGCCCACCUGUCCGCUACCGCCUCCAAUCCUGGGCCAAGAGCUUCAGACAGGCGCACUAUUCGGCCAGUGGCAACAAGGAGCAGGAAGCUGCGUGCUAAUCCCGCCUGCAAAAGCUGGAAGAGAGGGGCGGAAUGAAAGAACCAAUCAUGAGCCAGAGACAAAGAACAGAUUAACCAAUCCUUGGGUUGAAAAUGAAGUGGGAUGGAACCUGGGCCAGAUAGACACUUGAAAAAACAAAUGGAAAAAAAAGAUUGAUGAGCUGAGCAUGAUGAACGAGAAGUCGGAAGUGAGUCAGCAGGAUAACACUUAGUGCCUAAAAAAGCAAGCAGGACAUCAGAAUGCAUAAGUAGGAAUAUAAUGUGCAGGAAGUGGGAGGUGAUCUUCCCUUUCUUCCAAGAACUGGCUCACCCCACGAGUUGUCUGCAAAGACUUUGCAGAACUUGGGCCAGGCCCAGGAAGAUUAAAGGACUACAAAAGGAGCAACUCACAUUCAACAGUGCUGGGUGCUCAACACCUGUUAUCUCAUGUGAUCAAUCAUCAACAUGUCCCAUUUUGCAAACGAAGCAACAGACUCGGGAAGGCAAGGCCCUCCAUCAGUCUUGUGACACGGGAUGAAGUCAUCAAUGCCAAAGCGAAGGUGGAGGCUUGAUAAGAGUGGGAGCAAGGCUACAAACCUCAUAGGCACUUGGUAUUGCUGAAGGACAACAUGCACGUUCAGGAUCAGCUACCGGAAGGUAUAACAAGAGAAGCCAGACAAGACAGUGGAAGAAUCAGUCAGGGAGCCAAUAGCAACUAAGAUAGAGACAGGACAUGGCAACAAGCUGGGGACUGGGUGAGGCCAGACAAAUCUAAGUUCACGUACCACCUGGUUCUUCUUCCCCUACAACUGGGCCUCUUCCCAUCCUAACAACACAGGCUCUGAGCCCCAGGAGAAUUCCCUUUGCAUGUAUCUCAGGAUGUUGGCCUCAUCUUACCCCUCUCCAUUUUUCAGUCCCUGGAUGGGUUAUUUAUCCCAGCUCCAAACCCCAGGACCAAACCUCAGCCCUGACCCGUGUCCUUGGCCAUGUGAGUCAGACGAUGUCCCAAACUUCCUUCUUCCCAGAUGAGUGGUGAACGUUUUAUCUUAAAGUUAGUAAAAAAGAAAGUUUUAAAAUAGAUUACAAAAUUGUUAUGCUUAACAUUUGUAGGUGCCCUUUAUUACUUUGACUUCUUAAGCCUUAAUAAAUGAAAGUAUAACUC